GACGAACGCUGGCGGUGUGCUUAACACAUGCAAGUCGAACGGUAAGGCCCUUUCGGGGGUACCCGAGUGGCGCACGGGUGAGUAACACGUGAGUAACCUGCCCUCAUCUCUGGGAUAACAGUCGGAAACGGUUGCUAAUACUGGAUAUGAGCUUGCAAGGCAUCUUGUGGGUUGGAAAGAUUUUUUUUGGUUGGGGAUGGACUCGCGGCCUAUCAGCUUGUUGGUGAGGUAGUGGCUCACCAAGGCUUCGACGGGUAGCCGGCCUGAGAGGGCGACCGGCCACAUUGGGAAGGAGAUACGGCCCAAACUCCUACGGGAGGCAGCAGUGGGGAAUAUUGCACAAUGGACGGAAGUCUGAUGCAGCAACGCCGCGUGCGGGAUGACGGCCUUCGGGUUGUAAACCGCUUUCAAUUGUGACGAAGCUUUUUUGUGACGGUAGCAGUAGAAGAAGCACCGGCUAACUACGUG
rnacentral:rRNA from 1 species